GUACAUUUCAAAACUAUUAAGAAAUGAGUAUAAUUGUGAUGGAUGUGUUACUUAGCUCAAUAUAAGCAUUUCACAUUGUAUAUUGAAGCAGUACCCUGAACCCCAUAAAUGCAUCAACGUGCGUAGUUACGAUUUAAUAAGAAAAAGAAAAACAUGGAGGCCAGUAACAGAGAACACACAUGAUCUGCCUUGCCCACUUGACAAUACUUUGUGUCCUUUCAAGGUAAUGUGACUUUUUUUGCCAUUUUAGGUGGGGGCUGGGUUUGAACCCUCCACCUCCAGUAUAUGGGACCAGCACCCUACUCCUUUGAGCCACAGGCACCGCCCAAGGAAAUGAGUGCUUUGCAAGUGGCUUAUUCAAAAGGUUUUGCCAGGGUGGCCACUGUGUUGGUUGACAAGAACUGUGAUCUGAACAUCAGAGAUGCUGAAGAGAGGACACCUCUGAUAAAGGAUGCUGAUUUUUUGAGCCUAGGUAAUUUCAUAAUAGAGAAACUCUUGAUUAAUCUCCUCUGUGGGAACUCUAGCUGCCUCUCCCAUAUCACUGUCCAUCAUCAGCAAGAAGCAGUUAAGAGCGGUCAGUGUCCUGUUUCCCUAAGAGGCAUGUGGAACUUCUAUGCAGAGUGAGAAGAUUGAUACAGGAUUUCAUUAUUUUGGGCUAAAUAACAAGCCACAGCAGGAAGGAAAGCUCCUCGGUGAGAUCGGCUGAAAUAACCAAUAACAGAUUUUCUCCCUUGCCUAUCCAGAAAUGUCUUUAAUACACGGGGGUGGGGUGGGGUGGCGAAUGUAGAGGACGCCAAGAUACACAUGACUUCUGAGCAAGAUGAUUUGUGGCUGGGGGGCGGACCCUCAGGCAAUUCAUCCACAGAUGUUCACUUGUGGAGAAAGAGCCUGAGCCCAUGUUGAUCCCUAGGCAUGCAGUCAUUGUCUAAUACUCCCCUCACCUGUCUUGUACUGUCUCAAUAAAAGGCUACUAUGGAGGUUUCUCAGGGCUACCCUGCAAUCAAGGUUAGCCCGCCUCCUGCAAGCUUGUACUUCUAAUCUGGUCAGGCCUGGUUCCUUCCUGCUGCUAUCAAGACCAGGGCCAUAGGGGUUGCGACACACAUUGGCCACUACAAAAAUUUUUUUUAAAUUGAGGUUUGAUGGUUCAUGCCUGUAGUUCUCAGCUAUUCAGCAGGUUGUGAAAGGAGGGUCACUUGGUUGGAAGACGCAGUGAGAUAUGAUCAGAGCACUGCACUUCAGUCUGAGCACUGGAACAAGACCCUGUCUCUAAAGCAUUUACUAAUAAAUAAUUCAGAUUUUACAAUCUUCAUGUACUCUGUUUUUUUAAGGAGGCAGCCAGAGUUUUGAAAAGGGAGCAGGCAAUGUCUGCUAGAAUUAAACAGCCCUGUGCAUG